CGAAUGCUGACAUAAGUAACGAUAAAGCGGGUGAAAAGCCCGCUCGCCGGAAGACCAAGGGUUCCUGUCCAACGUUAAUCGGGGCAGGGUGAGUCGACCCCUAAGGCGAGGCCGAAAGGCGUAGUCGAUGGGAAACAGGUUAAUAUUCCUGUACUUGGUGUUACUGCGAAGGGGGGACGGAGAAGGCUAUGUUGGCCGGGCGACGGUUGUCCCGGUUUAAGCGUGUAGGCUGGUUUUCCAGGCAAAUCCGGAAAAU
rnacentral:rRNA from 1 species